AGGAGUAGCUUUCUGCAAAGCAGUAUUGCCUCCUAACAGCAGUGUAUAUUCACAAAAGAAAUGCACUGCUAGAAUUUUCGCCUGCUCACCUCCCCCUAAAAGAGGAACUGCAGCAUUGCAGAACCUCUAACUACCGGUUCUUCUAAGAUCCUGAAUGGCAAGUUCCUGUCUUGGGCAGCAAAGAGCCUCAGGACUAACAGAGCCUGAAUUAUAGCAUUGGCUGAACCAGGCAAACUCAAGUUUUGGUUUCUAGAGCCUCAAGGGCCUAAAGGACAAAACACAAAAUUGAAGGCCUGUCCAAGAUGGGAAGUCUAAUUACAGUCUUCCUUU